AGAAUCAACGCUGGCGGCGUGCCUAACACAUGCAAGUCGAACGCGGAAGCCCCGCAAGGGGUAAGUAGAGUGGCAAACGGGUGAGUAACACGUGGGUGACCUGCCUUCGAGUGGGGGAUAACGUCCCGAAAGGGACGCUAAUACCGCAUGAUAUCCUGCCUUUGGAAAGGUGGAGAUCAAAGCUGGGGAUCGCAAGACCUGGCGCUUGAAGAGGGGCCCGCGCCUGAUUAGCUAGUUGGUGGGGUAACGGCUCACCAAGGCUACGAUCAGUA
rnacentral:rRNA from 1 species